AUACGGAGGAUCCGAGCGUUAUCCGGAUUUAUUGGGUUUAAAGGGUGCGCAGGCGGCCAUUUAAGUCAGCGGUUAAAUCGUGGGGCUCAACCCCAUUCUGCCGUUGAUACUGGGUGGCUUGAUUGCGGUCGAGGUUGGCGGAAUUCGUUGUGUAGCGGUGAAAUGCAUAGAUAUGACGAAGAACACCGAUUGUGUAGGCAGCUGACCAGACCGCAAAUGACGCUCAUGCACGAAAGUGCGGGGAUCGAACAGGAUUAGAUACCCUGGUAGUCCGCACAGUAAACGAUGAAUACUUGUUUUCGGCGAUAUAAUGUCGGAGGCAAAGCGAAAGCGAUAAGUAUUCCACCUGGGGAGUACGCCGGCAACGGUGAAACUCAAAUGAAUCGGCGGGG
rnacentral:rRNA from 1 species